rnacentral:rRNA from 1 species
UACAGAGGUCCCAAGCGUUGUUCGGAUUCACUGGGCGUAAAGGGUGCGUAGGUGGCAGGGUAAGUUUGAUGUGAAAUCUCCGAGCUUAACUCGGAAACUGCAUUGAAUACUAUCUUGCUCGAGGGUUGGAGGGGGGACUGGAAUUCUCGGUGUAGCAGUGAAAUGCGUAGAUAUCGAGAGGAACACCAGUGGCGAAGGCGAGUCCCUGGACAACUCCUGACACUGAGGCACGAAAGCUAGGGGAGCAAACAGG